AGUUCCUACCACUUGAUCGAUUUUUGGUUGCUACGUGUUUCGCGUCUAUUCUCUUCACCGUUUUCCCACCCAAUCACUUUUGUAUUGCUGGCCUUUUUUUUUUUCCAUGUGCACCUCUAGUCGCUUCCAAUCAAAUGUACUCAUCUUUAACCGCCUCAAUCAGUUUUAAUCUACAGUUUCCCUAAAUUCCUUUGAUCCUUCCUCCAAUCAGUCAGUGCAUCUUUUCUUUUUGUUCCAGAUCCCUCCACCGCUUAAUACACGACGAUUCUUCCCACUUUUCUUCUUCGUCUCAAGCUUCAUAGAUUCGGGGUCGCCACCGCCGACGAUUCAUGCAUUCUACAUCUCUCGAUGUUUUCCAGACGGAAUCAGUCUGUCACAUGCGAGCCCUCCAAAAUCAACAACAUCCUUGGACACUGAACCCAACCAUUGAGGUUUCACCAUCACUGCCAUCCAACGUUUAAAAUCCUUCAUAGGAGGGAGAACGAGGCAAAAAGGUCAAAGUCGGAUGGAAUCCACAGUCAACCGCUGUUUCUAUUUUGUGUUUUCUUAUAUAUUCCAUAUUUUCCACUUUUCGAUGGGUUUCACUGCAAUUCUUUUUCUACUGUUCUUAUCGGAUUUGAUAGCCCUAAUAAUCACUCUUUAUCUCGGCUCGACGGGUAAUUUAUAUAUAUACGGUUAAAAAUAACUCUGAUUUGCUUCUAAUCCCAUCUCUACUCCGGUUUCCGUCGAUUGGAGACGAAUGAUUCUGGUUGUGGUUUUGCAGGCGGUAUCUGUUUUAAAACAUUAUCCAAAUCUUGAGAAGAUAUCUUUUGUCGGUCACUCACAACACUUAGGAGAUGUUGUUUAAAGAUGUUAGAUGAGAUGGAUGACUCUUCCCGUUAUUGCUUGCUUCUGUUGUGUUUAUCGACGUUCACCCAAUCUCCAUGUCGGUUUAAGCUCUACAUCAUCGUCAAUUUGCGAUUUACAGGAAAAUUAACAAUUUUGUGAAGACGGGAAGCCUUCCUACAUAAGCCAUCUUAUGAAAGAGUAAAAUCAGAAUACUUAGUUUGCUAUUAUAUCAUACACACCGUUUAUGUAAUCUACGAUCACCAUUGGCACAUAAAUCAUGUGUUAGUUCGGUAUGCAACUCUAUAAACAACAAAGUUCGGUUUAAACUUUCCAAGGUUGUGAAUCUCUUUCAUGUUAAACGAUCUCAUUGAUGUAAUCGCAUAUCCACACGACAUAUCAUUUAUUUCCAUUUUUCAUAUCUGUAGAUCAUGUGAUCCUUAGAUUUGAUUCUAGAACUUUUACGAAUUUGAUUUUUUAUUGGGCAGAAUUCAAAAUUAGAUUACAUAUCAAUUGUGUUGUGAUGAAGAAGCAAGGUCUCAGGCCAAGUUCAUUCCAAUGAAAUUCCAAUGGGAAGGGGCAAUUUGGUAAUUUGGUAGAAGGGUAUGAUUGGUAAGAGAAGAAGAUGGCUAAAAAAGAUCAUGAAAUGAGGAGUGUGACCAGUAUUCAAGCUGAGGCUCUUUAUGAACCAAUAGUUUAUUUAAUGAAGCGUUCUUUAGUUUGUUUAGGACUUAUUUACAAACAAAGAGAUUCAUCACCUGAGAGUUGAAGAUAUAUGAAUUGCUUAUAGGAUAAAAUUUCAAUCAAUUUGCCUUGGUUAAUAAACUUCCACGAAUUGUGGAAGCUUUAGCUAUACAGACAGUAACAUGGGAGAAUGAUAGAGGUGUUGAAUUAACUUAUGAUAUGGUAAGAUUGUAAUUUCCUAUUUAGAUUUUUUUUUUCUUUUUGCAAGAAGAGCUGAAAAAGGCUGGCUUUAAAACUAUAGCUCUUACAGUUGAUACAUCAGGGCUUGGACGCCGAGAAGCUAACAUCAAAAACAGGUUUACCAAAAUUACUAUUUUGCCAUUCUCUUUAAAAUAAAGUAAAUGUAUAUUCAUAAUAAAGGUUUCCAUAUUUUUUAUAAGUUAAUGUUGAGAUACUAUAAUCAUAAUCAAUUAUAUUUGUAAAUCUGACUCAUUUCGACAUAUUUUUACAAGGUAAAGUAUAUUACUGUUUGUUAUAUUUUCAUAUUUGGAUAGUAAAUGCAUUAAUUAGUAACAUACUUUGAAUUUAAAGCUCUUGGUUUUUGUUUUUUGCAAUUCGUUUUGGACUCUUUUACCAAAAACCAAAAUACAUUUAACAAAAACCAAAUGCACUAAAAGGAAUGUACUGUGGGCUUAUUUGUUUAUUAUACCAUCCUACUUUCAUUUUUCCUUGCAACAUCAUAUGUUUUUACAAGUACAUUGCAAAUUUUUUUAUCAUGUUUAGAAUCUGUAAAUACAUGGUUGUGAUCAGUGACAAAGUGGGUUAAUUUUUAAAAUUAAUAGUCUUCAUUUUAUUUUUGUGUUAGAUUUCGGUGUUUUCCGGUUAUAUGCUGACUAAGUAUAAUAUUUCUUUACAUAGAAGCAUUGUACCUUUUAUAUUUUGAUUUUUUAAUUUUCAGGGGUUCCAACGAUAAUCACUUGACUGGUUCUCCGAUGGGCGGAACUCAAAGCAAUUUUUACUGUUAUAAUUAGAUUAUAAUUUGAUUUCUCAACCCAUGAUGACAACAUACUUUAAUUUCUUACCGCUAAUAGCAAUAUGGAUGAGUGAUUGAGCGAUCAGCCAUUCGAAGUGUCAUCCUUGUGUUUUGGCUUUGAUAAAGCGAGUUUCUCGUAAAAAUAAUAUCACAUUAAAUUGAUAUUAUCCCCCGAAUUGGCUAAAGCAUUUAUUAAAAUAAAGUUGCCAAAGUUAACCGGCCCAAAUCUGUCAUUUUAAUUGGCAACCCAUCAAUGAUUGCAGCAGAACACAACUCAUGUAGCACGAUGGUAGAUGCUUUCUCCAAUUAUUUUCGCUUCGUCAUCACAUACUUGACAAAUUUAGGAAGCUUAUCCAUGGAUUGGAGGAAUAGAGUGUUAAUCGAGAUGUAAAACACUUGUUCCAUGAAUUUCUUCUGGUCCAACUCCAAAGAAUUCUCGAGGGCUCGAGAUGAAUAUGGCAGAGGAAGCUGGUAUGGUUUUAAAAAAGAAGGAUUUUCAUUCUUCAUGCGCCACGACAUGCCCGAGUGGUCGCCACGUCGUGGGUACUUGGCAGAAGAUUUUUCUUUUUCUGUUUCAGGUUUCUCUUUUUCCAUAUGUGGAUCGGGCUGUUUGGUAUCAGUAUCAUAAAUCAUUAAUGGCUCAGAACUACCCUAUAUUAGUAGAACAUAACAUAUCUCCAUAUAUAUUUGUAUUUAUUGUAAAUUGAUUAUGAUUAGCAAUUUCCUAGAAUAUCUCUUUGUAUAUCCCUAUAAUCUCUCCUAUUCCUGCUGUAUAUAUUGAGGGCUCCUCAUAUCAAUAAGAUCAUCAAGAUUCAUAGGUUCA